CUUUCAAAAGGCUCCUUCCUUCUUGAGGCAUGUGACAGAAGUGGGCAGGCAAUCAGAAAGCUGAGUACCCACCAGCCCUAGGAUGAUCGGUGAAACGCUGCAUGGUAAGGAACGGGAUGGCAGACAGGAAAGACCACCUGCAGGAGAUGCAUCUUUUCUGGACAGGCAGUGCACUGCUAGGUUGGAUACAAGAACAUGUUUUCAUAUAGUUCAUCUGCACUCUACAAGAAAAAUCCUUCAGAGACCCAGAAGGGAAGGAUGAGCUCUGCUUCAGAUCAUGUUCCUCUGGGACCACCUGCUAA